CGGUAAACACGUCGGGACGAGUUCGCAUCGCUCUGCCCCAGUGACCACACAGAGUGUGUUUUUGGAAAAAUAAUAUUAAUUUACAGAUAUGGUGUAUAAACACAACACAAGGAUCUUAGAGUAAAAAAAAAUAUGCAGGCCAUAAAUUUGUGUUUGGCUGGAGAAUCGAUUAAAAGGACAAUAAAAAAAUACGGGCUAGCUUAGGCUACAUUAUAUCGACAUGUCGAAUGUGAAAUUUUCUCCACAGUCAGGUCGACUCCGUCCUAUAUUCACAACUGUCAUUGGCUUUUGUAAUGCAGCUGGUAGCUUAAAUUUCUUCCACCUUUUUUAAUUUUUGAUAUAAAGAAGAUGCAGCCAAGACUUCUUGAUGGAAGUCCGCCAGGGAUUCAAGGAACGUUUACUCCCAAUGGUUGGACAUCAGGCGAAGUCUUCUUGAAUUGGAUGCACUUUUUCGUAGAGCACGUGAUGCUAACAUCAGACAAAAAGUUCCUAUUAAUACUAGACAAUCACGAAAGUGACAAAUAUUAUCCUGUACUUGGGUACGUAACCAAAAAAAAUGUGGUGAUAUUAUCCUUAGCAACCCAUACUAACCACAAAAUGCAACCGAUGGAUGUUGCUAUAUAGCCCACGGAAAACGUAUUUUGAAAGGGAGAUCAUUAGUUUAAAAAAUCUCACCCCGGCCGCAUCAUUAACCAGCUGCUAGCACCAGUUUUUCUCAAAACGGCGGUGGCCAUCAACACAGUGCAUGCAUUUGAACGUCUUGGAGUUUGGUCUUUAAACAAGCAUGCUUUUGGUGAUCAUCAUUUUGCACCAGCCGAUAUACUUGCAGGCAGAUUCAAUUUGAAUACUCAGUCAGAAGCUUUUGCCCCCAACGGAAAGAACUAAUUUGCCCGAGUCCAUCAUUCAAGCGUCAUCUUCGAAUGAAUCUCACGAAUCUCAGAACAAUGUUUUUUCAAUAUGUUCCUUUAAUUUACAAUGUUUAUUUAUUCAUGAGUUCAAUUUCUUUGUUUGUAAUAACUACAAUAACUAGCAUUGUAGAAAAAAAUUUUUUUAUAUGUUUCUUCAAUUUUUGAUGGUUUUUUUUCAAUUUUAAUGUUGAGUUCCAUGACGAAUAAUGUUGUUCGCUUUGCCCUAGUACUGAAUCCACUUUACCCGGGGUGCUGGGCAAAGUGGAUAUUCAUGCCAUUGUUGAAAACUGGCCUUAUAUCUAAUAGUUUAGCUAUUAUUAAGAACAAAUGUUAUUACAUUUUGUAAGUCCAUUAAAUGAAGACUCAAUAUAAA